rnacentral:rRNA from 1 species
ACAAUGGGGGAAACCCUGAUGCAGCAACGCCGCGUGAAGGAUGACGGUUUUCGGAUUGUAAACUUCUUUUCUUAGUGACGAAGACAGUGACGGUAGCUAAGGAAUAAGCAUCGGCUAACUACGUGCCAGCAGCCGCGGUAAUACGUAGGAUGCAAGCGUUAUCCGGAUUUACUGGGUGUAAAGGGAGCGCAGGCGGGACUGCAAGUUGGAUGUGAAAUACCGUGGCUUAACCACGGAACUGCAUCCAAAACUGUAGUUCUUGAGUGAAGUAGAGGCAAGCGGAAUUCCGAGUGUAGCGGUGAAAUGCGUAGAUAUUCGGAGGAACACCAGUGGCGAAGGCGGCUUGCUGGGCUUUAACUGACGCUGAGGCUCGAAAGUGUGGGGAGCAAACAGGAUUAGAUACCCUGGUAGUCCACACUGUAAACGAUGAUAGCUAGGUGUGGGGGGUCUGACCCCUUCCGUGCCGGAGUUAACGCAAUAAGCUAUCCACCUGGGGAGUACGACCGCAAGGUUGAAACUCAAAGGAAUUGACGGGGGCCCGCACAAGCAGUGGAUUAUGUGGUUUAAUUCGAAGCAACGCGAAGAACCUUACCAGGUCUUGACAUCCGACUAACGAGAUAGAGAUAUGUCAGGUGCCCUUCGGGGAAAGUCGAGACAGGUGGUGCAUGGUUGUCGUCAGCUCGUGUCGUGAGAUGUUGGGUUAAGUCCCGCAACGAGCGCAACCCCUGCCAUUAGUUGCUACGCAAGAGCACUCUAAUGGGACCGCUACCGACAAGGUGGAGGAAGGUGGGGACGACGUCAAAUCAUCAUGCCCCUUAUGACCUGGGCUACACACGUAAUACAAUGGCCGUUAACAGAGGGAAGCAAAGCGGUGACGCAGAGCAAAACCCUAAAAACGGUCCCAGUUCGGACUGUAGGCUGCAACCCGCCUACACGAAGUUGGAAUUGCUAGUAAUCGCGGAUCAGCAUGCCGCGGUGAAUACGUUCCCGGGCCUUGUACACACCGCCCGUCACACCAUGGGAGUUUGUAACACCCGAAGUCAGUGACCCAACCGCAAGGAGGGAGCUGCCGAAGGUGGGAUAAGCGACUGGGGUGAAGUCGUAACAAGGUAGCCGUAGGAGAACCUGCGGCUG